rnacentral:tRNA from 1 species
GCGGCCAUAGAUUAGCUGGGAGAUCGUCAGACUGAAGAUCUGAAGGUCGUGUGUUCGAGCCACACUGGCCGCA